UACGAAGGGGGCUAGCGUUGCUCGGAAUCACUGGGCGUAAAGCGCACGUAGGCGGAUCUUUAAGUCAGGGGUGAAAUCCUGGAGCUCAACUCCAGAACUGCCUUUGAUACUGAGGAUCUCGAGUCCGGGAGAGGUGAGUGGAACUGCGAGUGUAGAGGUGAAAUUCGUAGAUAUUCGCAAGAACACCAGUGGCGAAGGCGGCUCACUGGCCCGAUACUGACGCUGAGGUGCGAAAGCGUGGGGAGCAAACAGG
rnacentral:rRNA from 1 species